AUUGAACGCUGGCGGCAUGCUUUACACAUGCAAGUCGAACGGUAACAGGGUGCUUGCACCGCUGACGAGUGGCGAACGGGUGAGUAAUGCGUCGGAACGUGCCGAGUAGUGGGGGAUAACGCAGCGAAAGUUGUGCUAAUACCGCAUACGUACUGAGGUAGAAAGUGGGGGACCUUCGGGCCUCACGCUACUCGAGCGGCCGACGUCUGAUUAGCUAGUAGGUGAGGUAAAGGCUCACCUAGGCGACGAUCAGUAGCGGGUCCGAGAGGAUGAUCCGCCACACUGGGACUGAGAAACGGCCCAGACUCCUACGGGAGGCAGCAGUGGGGAAUUUUGGACAAUGGGCGAAAGCCUGAUCCAGCCAUGCCGCGUGUCUGAAGAAGGCCUUCGGGUUGUAAAGGACUUUUGUCAGGGAGGAAAUCCCUAGUGCUAAUAACACUGGGGGAUGACAGUACCUGAAGAAUAAGCACCGGCUAACUACGUGCCAGCAGCCGCCGUAA
rnacentral:rRNA from 1 species